CUGGCUCAGGACGAACGCUGGCGGCGUGCCUAAUACAUGCAAGUCGAACGGUCUUUCUAUGGAAGCUUGCUUCCACUGAGAAGAUAGUGGCGAACGGGUGAGUAACACGUGGGUAACCUGCCCAUAAGAGGGGGGAUAACAUCCGGAAACGGGUGCUAAUACCGCAUAGUUUUCUUGAUCGCAUGAUCGGGAAAGGAAAGACGGCCUUUGUGCUGUCGCUUAUGGAUGGACCCGCGGCGUAUUAGUUAGUUGGUGAGGUAACGGCUCACCAAGACGAUGAUACGUAGCCGACCUGAGAGGGUGAUCGGCCACAUUGGGACUGAGACACGGCCCAAACUCCUACGGGAGGCAGCAGUAGGGAAUCUUCCGCAAUGGACGAAAGUCUGACGGAGCAACGCCGCGUGAGUGAAGAAAAGGUUUUCGGAUCGUAAAACUCUGUUGUCAGAGAAGAACAAGUUGGAGAGUAACUGCUCCAGCCUUGACGGUAUCUGACCAGAAAGCCACGGCUAACUACGUGCCAGCAGCCGC
rnacentral:rRNA from 1 species